UGGCAAUCUGCGAGUUGGAUUUGCAGAAGCAGCAUAAAUGGAUCUACUUUGGGGUAUCCCUCAAAUUAGAUACUCCAUUUCUAUCUGCUACUACGUACCUUCAAAGUGGAAUUACUAGUGCAUUAUAGAGGGUGGUAGACCCCAGCUUAAAACCAAUAGAAGUUUACUUGUAAAUAUUUGUGCGUUGGGUUGAAAAGUGAAUGUUAGUUCAAGAAAUGAUGAGCUUCAAGCGUUAUUUUAAGAGUAUCUUGCACCUACAGUGUAUCAUUGGCUAGAUAAGCUAGGCUUCGGUUUGUUCAAGGACGAUCAUGCAUCACCAUGUAAUAAAUUUUGAACAUGUUUUAUUCACUAAGCUUGAAUUCUAAGCAGGUUUUUUAGUUGGUUCUAUUUCUAUAUCAAUG
rnacentral:misc_RNA from 1 species